ensembl:lncRNA
AAACAACUCCACAAAGGUGCGGAGGCAUGGUGGGCCAGCGCACAGCAGAUGUAAAUGCUUCCUGCCUGUCCUCCAGCCCCCAGGUGUCCCUCACGUGUAAUGUCCCUCCUCUCUCCCCAGGCUGCAGUGAGAUGCAGCUGAGUUGACAGGGAUAGCAGAUUGGAAAGGGCAUACUGCUGAGCACACGCAUGGCACUGUUCUGGGGCUCCAAGUGCUUUCUCAGAGGCAGCAAAGCCCCUCUCCUGGGGUCCCUGUGGGUACCACCUGUGGAUCCAUGACUCUUGAGUGUAACGCCACAGAGGGGGAAUGCCGGCCUCGUCCCUGCUAGUUCCCUUGCAGCUGACAUAAGCUUGAAGAAAGUGACCGAGUGCAGGAGAUCAGAUGCAUAAAAUGCAAAACAGAAGCCAAGGUUUUAUUUGAUUGUAACAGGAAAGAGAAAAACCUCAACGUUUUUGCAAAGAUGAGAACAAAACCUAGGAGAAAGAGUUCACACUGAGGCAUAACUCAGCUGGGAAGCUAGCUUCACUCACAGCUUCCCAAAGAGACCUUCACAGCCCAAAGUCACAUCACUGAGCCCUGCCCACAGUCAGACUGCUCUCUCAGAAAUUGUGCUUGCCUGUAUCCCAUGGACAGAGGAGCCUGGCAGGCUACAGUUCAUGGCAUCAUAAAGAGUCAGACACGACUGAGCAAGUACGCACUUUUUUUCAAGCCCUGGUUCAGAAAGAUCCCCUGGAGAAGGGAAUGGCAACCCACCCCAGUAUUCUUGCCUGGAAAAUUCCACAGACAGAGGAACCUGGAGGGCUAUACUCCAUGGGGUCACAAAAGAGUCGGACACAACUGAGCACUUAGAAGAGGAAAACCGUCUCUGGGUUUCUGACCUGAGAGAAGUGAGAACCAGUAACCAAGGGACGGCCUCACAGGGCCUGGAGGCCUGACAAUGCUCAUUUCUGCCCAGCUCCAGCAGGGAAGCCCAGAGGCAGCCCUUCCCAGCUGAGCUAUCUGGGGCUCAGCCCAGGCAAGUGAAAUUCUCCUGGAGGAGAUACUGACAUUAAAUCACAGCAAGGAAACAAUGAGGGUAAAAGCAUGUCCUGGUAAGAGCAGGGCUGCAGUGAGGAGGGGAGGGAGCGUGGGCUGCUGCUGAGGGUCGGGAGAAGUCUGCUGUGUGACUGUCCUGGGCUCAGAGGUACCCAGCUCCUCCAGUGAAAGCCAAGUCCAGAAAGGGGCAGCCAGUAUCCACUCAGGUGCCCCUGCCCCUCCCCAGAUCCACCCAACUGCCCAUCCAACCACACUCUGGGGAGAGGGGGGUGAGGAUGUUUGAUGCAGGAACAGGGGACGCUGGUGUGGAAUCUAGUCAUGGGCUCAAAGCAGGUGAGCCCAGGGGACACUGAGGUCUGGAGAUGGGACCCAAUCUCUCCUGGCCUCCUGGCUCCCUUUCCCAAACACUGAGCCCCUCUAUUCGUUCAUUCAACCUUCAUUCAUUCACUGGGGACCUGCUGCCACCUGGGCACUAUGCUGGGCCUCAGGGGCCUGGAGUGAGGCCAAUACCCUGCCCUGACCUCAUGGACUUACUGUCUAGCAGAUGAGACAGAGAAACAGGUCAAGCACGUGCAAUCGUUGCGGGUUGAGCUAAGUGCUUUGCAGGAAACAAAUAAGCAAACAUGUUGGUGGGGCCAGGGGAGUCAUCAUUAGAGAGGGUGCUUGGGAAAGGCUUCCCCAAGGAGGUGACGAUGAAUUUCUCUGAGAACAUCUGGAGACGGAGUGCGGUAUCCAUGUGAACAGCGCAUGCAAAAGCCCUGGGGUGGGAAGGUGCUUGGGACAGGAGCAGAGAGAGGGCCUUGCAGGCAAUGAGUGCUCAGCCAGGGUCAGGGCGUAAACCCCAUAAUGGUGCCUGCAGCCAUCAUUGUCCAGGGAGCCCUCUCCUCUUCUCUGACCUCCACAUGGAGACAUUUUCUCCUUGGGAGCAUUGCUUAAAGGUUUCCCAUAACAUCAUUAACAUUCAGCAAAGGAAACCGCCAGGCAGUCUGUGCAGGAAAAUCCUGGACAGCUUGCUAGUUAUCAACUGGAGAUAAUUAAAUCAUGCGUUUACAGCAGACCCCUCAGGACCAGGCAUGCUUCUCUCUUCCCUCCUGUUUUGUGGCCUGUGAUGUGGAGAGGGAAGUGGGUUUGCCCCCAGGAGAGAGAAGGAAAAGUGAAAUAUUCCUCAGCAGAGAAAAACAAAAGAAUCCUAAUGAGUAAGGAGCCACCUGGAGCCUUGAAUUGAUCUUUUCUGUCAGCAGGAAAGUGCUGUCAGUCAUCAGGGAUGUGGUGUGUCACAUUCCCAUUUUGAGAAACUUUGCCCCCGACAGCUCCUAUGAGAAUAAUGUGGCUCCCACGGCCCAGGGGGCACUUGCAUAGGAUUGAAUGAUCCGAAUUUGGUAGACAGGAGCUGAGAGCUUUGUUUGUAAUCUUUUCAUCUCCCCAAAGGAUCCACGAGGGAAGACUGAGUGAAUUUUAUAGAUGAAGAAGCUGAAGUUCCGAGAGCCUCAAAACAGAUGAGCAAAAGGAACAGCCAACGGGAAAUUGUGACAACAGGAUUUUAGGACUUUUCAAGUCAGGAAAAGUAGGAGCAGCAUGCGGUGUAGAAAAGAAAGUGGAUCCGUGCACCUCUGUUGACAGGGAGCGGUUUGGAGCCUCCCGUUACCACUUCCCGGCUGUGAGCUUCUGGACCGGACUUCACUCUCUGGAUCUCAGCUCCCCGCUCUGUUGAGUGGAAACAGAAUCUGUGUCCACGGGAGCUCGUUAUGGAGGUGAAAGGCUGAGGCAGGCCCAGUUUAUCAUAUUCACCCCAGAGGGCAGCCACAGAAGUGGCAGGGGGUGCCAUGGGGUUGGGAGUGAGCACUGACUUGGGGGUCCAUAGCCAGUUUGCUGGGCACAGCCUACCGAGGGUGUAACCUCUCUGGGCUUGUUUCCUGGGAGCUCAAGCCUCAGCCUCUUCUGAGCUGGGUGAUACAUGGGAGGGGUCCAGGCAGAUGGGGGAGGUACGGGGCCCUAAGGUUCGUCCUGCAGGCUCUGCCCCUUCCUCAGACAAGGGCAGCAAGAGUCCCUGGGGAGCUAGUAGAGGGGAGGGGCUGAGGUUCCCUGAUGGCUCAGCGGGUAAAGAAUUCAUUUGCAAUGCAGAAGACACAGGAGAUUCGAGUUCGAUCCCUGGGUUAGGAAGAUGCCCUGGAGGAAGAAAUGGCAACCCACUCCAGUAUUCUUGCCUAAAAAAAUCCCAAAGGACAGAGGAGCCUGAUGGGCUAUAUAGUCCAAACGGUCACAAAAAGUCGGACACGACUGAGCAACUAAACAUACGUGACACAGUGGGUGAGGCUCCACUUUAAGCCUCUCACCCACAUACAGGAGGUGCAGGAGAAAAGGAGAUGCAAAACCAGGCCUGGAGGAGUGAACCCAGGGCCAUGCAAACACGAGUCAGUGGGUCCCUGGGGACAGGAUGGCUGAGGCCGCUUGUGGUAUCGCUCUGCUCCCUCCCCUUAUAGCCCCACCAGGUCCUGACCCGAGAAAGAAGGAAGCAAGAGAAGGAGGAAGCUGGGGAGAGAGGGAGGGAGGAGGCAUAUCUUCUGACCUCGGGCCUUUCAAGAUGGCACCUCAGGUGUGAAGAAGGGGGCCAGGGGAGUGCGGUGAGGCCUCUGGACACAAGUGGUUCCAGUUCAGUUUCUAUCCCUCUUAAGUGAGUGAAAGUCGCUCAGUCGUGUCUGACUCUUCUGACCCCAUGGACGAUAACCUGCCAGGCUCCUCUGUCCCUGGGGAUUCUCCAGGCAAGAAUACCGGAGUGCGUUGCCAUUUCCUUCUCCAGGGUUGCCAUUUCCCAACCCAGGGAUUGAACUCAUGUCUCCUGCAUUACAGGCGGAUUCUUUACCACUGAGCCACCAGAGAAAGCUCAUCCCUCUUGAAGGUGGGGCCUUAAGCAAGACAACCUGCAGGGUCUUUGUUUGCUCAUCUGUAAAUUGGGAAUAGUGAUUAUACCCACCUUGGCCCCAGAGCCUGGCCCUUGGAAUGAGCAUCCACGCCCUUUAAUGCCCUGGAGUCUGAGGCUUUUGCUCAAGGAGGAGGGGCUUCAGGGGUGGGGACCCCUUGUGAUCACACCCUGGAUCAAUGCUCUGCUGUCGUUGCCAUCUCGACAUGUGGAAUCAUCUUUGAACUUGUGUUUUGUAAGUGAAGUCCGUGGGGCAGUGGAGGGUG